UACGGGGGGGGCAAGCGUUGUUCGGAAUUACUGGGCGUAAAGGGCUCGUAGGCGGCCAACUAAGUCAGACGUGAAAUCCCUCGGCUUAACCGGGGAACUGCGUCUGAUACUGGAUGGCUUGAGUUUGGGAGAGGGAUGCGGAAUUCCAGGUGUAGCGGUGAAAUGCGUAGAUAUCUGGAGGAAAACCGGUGGCGAAGGCGGCAUCCUGGACCAACACUGACGCUGAGUGAGCGAAAGCCAGGGGAGCAAACGGG
rnacentral:rRNA from 1 species